CACUCCGCACCCCUACAAUUGGAUCUACCUGAUCGUGUCAUAUUUCUAUUUUCUUAUCAUUCGUUCCCCUUUUUUCCUUUUACUUCAAGAGGCUACAUAUUCUCAUGGAAUAAAGCACUCUCUUUCUAAAGGGUUAGACACACUAAACUCUAAUUUGUCACCGAUAAUGAAUAUGGUAAAAUAAGGAAUAUUUUUUUAUUUUUAAUUAGAAGUUUUAAAUUCGAAUUGGAGAUAUAAAAUUAAAUUUUACCCGUGAAGUUUUCAGCACCAAUUCAAAUCAGUUUAGUCAAGUUUUAAUAUAAAUAUUUUUCGGGUUACUGUUUGAGCACGAGGACUUGACGCGAAGGACAAGCACUUGAGUCUGUUUUAUACAAAUCUCAUACAGACUCAUUUUGUUUGCUGGUCAAGUUGUUUUUGUGCUGCACAAAUCACAAUGGAGGUGGCACUAUUUGUUUCCUUUAGUUGGUUAUUAAAUUUUUUUUGGAUGAGGUGUGAAUUUUAAAUAUUUCUAUUUGCUUGUAUUGUUGAUCAAACUUAUUUUGGCUCGUGUUUUUUACCUAGAAUUAUCAAUGAGUGGCAAUUUGAUUUUUACUAAUAUUCAAGUAACUCAUGUUUGAAUUGAAUGACUAAUUGCCUGUUCUAAAAUGUUAUUAAACUUUUUAUUUUUUAUUUUAUUAUUUUAACUUAAUCUAUAAAAUAUUGAAUCGCAAGAAUUAGAUAUGUUGGUCACAAAUUAUAUUUGUUCGACAAUAAUGUGGUUUAUUUACAGACCAAAAAUAUUAUGAACCGAAUGAAGUAACCAAAAAUGGGUUGAACCGAUCUAAUGUACACCCCCGAUUUGAUCUGUCACUAAUGGUAGGUUUGCAUUAAAAGUAGAAUAAUAGUUGCAGCUUUCAAAUCUUAAAUUCGGCUCACAUAGUAGUUAGAACUUGCAAGGAACUUAUACAAGUUUGGACCAAGGUUGAAUUAACAACAACAUACUAAGUAAAAUCCCACAAGUAGGGUCUAGAAAAAGUAGAAUAUAUACAUGCAUUAUCACUACCUCGUAGACAGAGGCGGCUCUACCUCUUAAAAAAAUAGGUGGCCGCCUUAGGCCCCCAAAUUUGAGGGGCCUCAUUUUUUACAAUAAUAUAUUAUAGAUUUUUUUUAAAACAAAAUUAAAUAUUAUUUAUAGAAAAUAUAAUUUUUUUAUAUACUGUAAAAGGAAAGAAUUAUUAGAAGAAGUUCAUAUAUCUAGAGUGUUAUAUCUCAAGAAAGAUUAAAUACAUUAAUUAUAUUAUUACAAAAAAAAAAUAAUUAGAAAAUAUCGAUUAUAUAUUUUUGAAAAUAGUGUUUAUUAAAAAAAAAUUAUUUUUUCUUAAAAAUUUAAGACCUCCGUUUGAUUUUCGCCUUAGGCCUUUAAGGCCUCCGUUUUAUUUUCACCUAAGGUCACGAAUAUGCUUGAGCCGCCCCUGCUCGUAGAGGCAGAAAGGUUGUGUCCGAAAGACCAUCGAUCCAAAUAUGGAAAUCCAGACCAACGAUUGAGUGAAUACAUAAAAUUUUGUUAGAUUACGGGUCAUGGAUCGCCCAUGUGGACUGACCCGAUCCGAUCCGAUCCAAUCUUUAUUAUUUUAAUUAUCUGAUAUAUGGAAGAAAAGCAGGGAGCAAUUUAAAUUUUGAAAAAAUAGGGAGAACUGUUACUAAGUAACUGUGUAUCCACCCAAAUACUCCUAUACAUAUAGGUUUCUUCCUCCGAAAAAAAAUAUACAGAUGAGAAAAACAAAAUAAUACAACAACUAAGAACAUCAACAAAUUCAAAAAAGAGGCUUUUAGUUUGUGAAUCUACUCCAUUUCUUAGAGAGACGGAGAUUGACUUGGGGCGAUUAUGUCAGUAGCAAAUUCAACACUUCCGCUGCAACAGAUUAAGAAAUGGCUGAACGGGGACAAACUCGAAUCACUCCAAGUGAGAGUUCUGGAUGUCGAGCAAAGAGACAAGGUAGAAGAGCUCGUCUUCGAUGGGCAUAUUUUUGAGGUCGUGAGAUCAUAUGAAAUGGUGUCCCCAGGGUGACACAAAAUCUGUUACGGAAUGAAAGGACUAUAUGAAGGGAAAGAGAAAAGAAAUUGAAAGAGUUCAAGUCUUUUAAGAUGUCACCUAACGUUAGUGUUGCUAGUUUUAUACAUCUGUUUGAAAUGAAACAUAUAGAACUAGAAAACUAUGUAGAAAUCUCGGAUUGAGAAGCAUUAGAUAUAUUAGCAAAUUCUCUUCGUGAUUCUUGAGGCGAGAUAUUAAUUGAUGUUUACCACGAGAUUUGCCCUAGCGAGCCUUUUUGGUUAUACAUAAAUCCUCUAGAAUAUUUGUGGAAUGAGUUUUAUUUUUA